AUAAUAAAUUGGUCUUUAAAUAAGAUCUUGAAUGAAAGGAAUAAUGAAAUAGUUUCUUUAUUAAAUAGGUAAAUAAAAUUUAAUUAUUAAGUAAAAAGGCUUAAAUAAAAUUUUUAGACAAGAAGACCCUAAAGAAUUUAAAUAAUUUUUUUUUAUAAUAUAAAUUAUAAUUAUAAAAAAUUUUUUAUUUUAGUUGGGGAGAUUAUUAAAUUUAAUAAACUUUAAUAAAUAAUAACAAUAAUUUUUGAAUUAAGGAUAAUUAAAUAAAUAGAAAAAUUACCUUA
rnacentral:rRNA from 1 species